UACGUAGGGUGCGAGCGUUGUCCGGAAUUAUUGGGCGUAAAGAGCUCGUAGGCGGUGUGUCACGUCGGCCGUGAAAACCUGCAGCUUAACUGUGGGCGUGCGGUCGAUACGGGCAUCACUGGAGUUCGGCAGGGGAGACUGGAAUUCCUGGUGUGGCGGUGAAAUGCGCAGAUAUCAGGAGGAACACCGGUGGCGAAGGCGGGUCUCUGGGCCGAUACUGACGCUGAGGAGCGAAAGCGUGGGGAGCAAACAGG
rnacentral:rRNA from 1 species